rnacentral:rRNA from 1 species
UACGUAGGGCGCAAGCGUUGUCCGGAAUUAUUGGGCGUAAAGAGCUCGUAGGCGGUUUGUCGCGUCUGCUGUGAAAUCCCGAGGCUCAACCUCGGGCCUGCAGUGGGUACGGGCAGGCUCGAGUUCGGUAGGGGAGACUGGAAUUCCUGGUGUAGCGGUGAAAUGCGCAGAUAUCAGGAGGAACACCGGUGGCGAAGGCGGGUCUCUGGGCCGAUACUGACGCUGAGGAGCGAAAGCGUGGGGAGCGAACAGG